rnacentral:lncRNA from 1 species
GAUAGAAGAGGUACAAAAAUGCUUUGAGACCAAUUUAUAUUAAAACAUAUAAAUCUGUGUUUCUUAUAGACUUAGAGAUGAUGUACAAGCCAAGACUACAUCAUUCAGGACUAUGCCCUGGUGGAUUCUUUUUUUGAGAAAUCAAGAUCAUAUAUUUUCAUUCACAUAUUGGAGAAGGGAGGCAUGUGAAAAGUCAUCAAACAACAUAGGAGAAUUACUGGGCACGAUGCCACCGCAUCUAAUGGAAAGAGCUCUCUUGGUGAUCUGUGUUCGCUUCGACCGAGACCAGCGAAGCGCCAGGAUGACCUCUGUCUGUCAGUGAUUUUGUAUGUGAACAAACUGAAGUCGGAUGUGCUUAGUUAGCCCUUGGAAAAUGUAAUGCAUUUCCGGCC